rnacentral:rRNA from 1 species
GAUGAACGCUGGCGGCGUGCUUAACACAUGCAAGUCGAACGGAAAGGCCCAAGCUUGCUUGGGUACUCGAGUGGCGAACGGGUGAGAAACACGUGGGUGAUCUGCCCUGCACUUCGGGAUAAGCCUGGGAAACUGGGUCUAAUACCGGAUAGGACCACUUCUUGGAUGUUGUGGUGGAAAGUUUUUUCGGUGUGGGAUGAGCUCGCGGCCUAUCAGCUUGUUGGUGGGGUAAUGGCCUACCAAGGCGUCGACGGGUAGCCGGCCUGAGAGGGUGUACGGCCACAUUGGGACUGAGAUACGGCCCAGACUCCUACGGGAGGCAGCAGUGGGGAAUAUUGCACAAUGGGCGCAAGCCUGAUGCAGCGACGCCGCGUGGGGGAUGACGGCCUUCGGGUUGUAAACUCCUUUCGCUAGGGACGAAGCGUUUUGUGACGGUACCUGGAGAAGUAGCACCGGCUAACUACGUG